UACGGCCAUAGAAUCGAGGACACGCGCUAUUCCGUCUGCUCUGGGCAGCUUUAAGCUCGAUAUCGCUCGGUCAGUACCAUCGUGAGGGACUAGAUGGUAAUCCUGGGUGCUGUGGU